rnacentral:tRNA from 2 species
UCUAAUAUGGCAGAAUUAAUGCAACAAGCUUAAAAUUUGUAAAUAAAUAAUUAUAUUUUUUUAGAA